CCUACGGGAGGCUGCAGUGGGGAAUAUUGGGCAAUGGGCGCAACUCUGACCCAGCAACGCCGCGUGAAGGAAGAAGGCCUUCGGGUUGUAAACUUCUUUGCUCAGGGACGAAGAAAGUGACGGUACCUGAGGAAUAAGCCACGGCUAACUACGUGCCAGCAGCCGCGGUAAUACGUAGGUGGCAAGCGUUAUCCGGAUUUAUUGGGUGUAAAGGGAGUGUAGGCGGGGUAGCAAGUCAGAUGUGAAAAUGCGGGGCUCAACCCCGGGCCUACAUGUGAAACUGUGUGUCUUGAGUGCUGGAGAGGUAAGCGGAAUUCCGAGUGUAGCGGUGAAAUGCGUAGAUAUUCGGAGGAACACCAGUGGCGAAGGCGAAUUGCUGGACUGUAACUGACGCUGAGGCGCGAAAGCGUGGGGAGCAAACAGGAUUAGAUACCCUGGUAGUC
rnacentral:rRNA from 1 species